UUUGGUGAUGAUGCGACUUUCGGAAACACCCGUUCCCAUAUCGAACACGAUGGUUAAGCUGAAGACGGCUAAAGGUACUUGUUUAGAGACGAAUAGGGAGAAUAAGUGAUUGCCAAAU
rnacentral:rRNA from 1 species